rnacentral:rRNA from 1 species
UACGAAGGGGGCUAGCGUUGCUCGGAAUCACUGGGCGUAAAGGGUGCGUAGGCGGGCCUUUAAGUCAGGGGUGAAAUCCUGGAGCUCAACUCCAGAACUGCCUUUGAUACUGAAGAUCUUGAGUUCGGGAGAGGUGAGUGGAACUGCGAGUGUAGAGGUGAAAUUCGUAGAUAUUCGGAAGAACACCAGUGGCGAAGGCGGCCAACUGGUCCGGUACUGACGCUGAGGUGCGAAAGCGUGGGGAGCAAACAGG